CUAUAAGUGUGAACCUGUUUUUUACAUUGCAGUGCAAUUGAACUGAUGAUGAUGCUUGAUUUUCAGACAAGAUGUACCAUGAAAUAUGAUCACAGCAAUACUUGCCUGAAGGUUAAAGUUACUGAUGACAGAGCUUGUGUCCAGUACAAAACCGACAGUCAACAAGAACUGCGGAAACUUGAGAAACUCAUAAGCAACAUGAUGAAGCACAUGGCAUCAGGAGAAAGAUAACCGAAGGAUUUGUACCCAGAAUCUUAGGCUACAUUUUUUGUAUGAUACUGAAAAUAAAAUGCUCUAAAAUAUUUAAAUUAUUUUGUCUUUUUGUUUAGAUAUAAAGAUGUAAGUAGCACCAUCCAUUAAUAACAUAUAACCAGAUAAAAUAUAAGUAGCACCAUCCAAACACGUAACCAUGACAGACUCACUUUUACUUGAAACAUGGAAUGCUUUUUAUUACUGAACUUGGUAUAACCCAGGUCUAACACAAAAUCAUUCUAGUUUCAGCAUGCAUCAUUAAAUAAUACUGUCUUAACUAUAAUAUUGUACAUGUACUUAACCUAUAUAUGACAAUAUAUACAUACCUAUAUGUACAUACAAAAGAUUAACAGUAAUAGUUGGCUGCAAGUCCUUCUAAAAUUACCCUUUCCCAACCAUA